CAAGAACUUUUUGAAUAACUCAAAAGAUUCUCCAGAUAAACAGAUUCAACCAAUUAGAAGCAUAUAUCCGUCCUAUUGGUGGAGAGAGAGAGAGAGUAAAAAUUAAUCAUCAUAUCCCAUAUGUGAUGAGUCUGGAUAUGUAGACUCUUCAAGUGUCAGAAAGCUGCAGCUCAACAAAAAUGAAUGCUCUUGUCUUGACACAUAAACUGAUCUGAAUCUACUAGAAAGAAACGUCAGUGGAAUCGACACUUCCUCUGUAUGAGACAGGUCACUUCUAUGUUAUUCCAUAACAGAACCUCUGAUUCACUCCUCUGAAAUCUACAUAUGGAUAACAAUUUUAAAAUUGCCAUGUAAUCUGGUAAUAACAAUAGUCAUCAUUGUUACUGUGUGCUGAAGGCAGAUACUUACCAAAUGGGAACCCUGAGAAAUUAAAACUAUAUCCUCUUUUCACAUAGCAACAAAAAGGAUCAAGGAGUUCAAAUAAUUUUUUCAAGAACAGAUACAUUGUGAAUUCUAAAGCCAAUAUCUAACACAAUCUGACAUAUUUCAGAGCUUUUUCUGUGCUUCUAUUUGCAUUCUUUUUGGAUAGUUAAGAGAUCCUACCGCCUCCAACCCUGUUCCUCCUGGAAAGCCUACUGCUUAUUAUCUGCUUCCUGGCCUCCCCAGCCCUACUGAGAUGAAUUAUAACCACAGCCUAAAGAAACCCCUGCUGCUCUAGCGUACUCCCUAGAGUUGCCCAGGCAAAAAGCGCCUUGGGAACAAAUCAACACCUGCAAUUCCUAGUGAAUCUUCUUAUGGAUUGCUUUGGAACUCAUCGUGGAAACAACUGUGUGUCUUCUCUUCCAAGGGGGUUUAAACCACUUCUUUGAAUUAUUAAUUACACAGCGUCUUUCUGUAUUUUCAGUGAUCAUCAUUUCACUAUGUGACUGUACUUCACUAUGAACUGCCUCAAAGUCUUUCCGAGUUCCCCUAUACCACAUAGCCUAUAUUUAAAGACAUACUAUUAGUGAAAUACUCUCCAAAAUGUGGCUUAAAUAUUUUCAUCCAUUUUGUUUGAUGUGAUGACAGAUGCAUUGAAACUUAAGUCUUAUUUAUACAGUCGUAAUGAUGCUCAAUACACUAUUACUGGUCUUGAUUAACUGCUUCAUAUGUGAAUAUCUUGAAUACUCAUAAUGAAUAUGAGCUCCUCUACUUCAUUUUGUGUGAACAUGUUCAACAAAUAUUGGCUCAUUUAAUAAAUAACUGAAUGAAUGGGCAACUACAGAACAAAUAACCAAGCUAGUGGAAUGAUAUUCUGAAAAUGAAGAGUGCUAUAUAAACAAUGUUUGUGUCCUCCUAAAAUUUAUACAUUGAAAUCCUAACUCCCAACGUGAUGAUAUUAGAAGAUGAGGCUUUAAGUAGAUGGUUAGGUAAUGAAGGUGGAGCUCUCAUGAGUGGAUUAUAAUGCUCUCUUAAAAAACAGACCUCAAAGAACCCCCAAACGUCUUCUGCUGCGUGAGGACAGAGGGAGAAGCAUCCAUGAACAAGGAAACUAGACACCAAAUCUGCCAAGACUGAUGGUGAAUUCCAGCCUACAGAACUGUGAGCAAUAAAUAUCUGCUGUUUAUAAGCCACCUAGUCUAUGGUACUUUUUAUACCAGCCUAAACAGACUAAUCCAAAAAGUAAAUACAUGACAGAAAAUUUUCAUAGAAGCUAAAUAAAGCCCAAUUACCAUACCUUCUAAGUUGUCAUCGUGCAGUAUUUAGACUCAAUAGAUUUCAAAGUUUUAGAUAUACCAUACUUAAUUAAAUUAAGACUGCAUGUCUUUGUAUGUUUUAUGAGAAUCUUCUGAGAAAAUUAAGUAAAUUUCAAGGAAAAUAAUCAAUAUAAUAGGGGUAAAGAAGAAGAAAACAAAAACAGAUUUAUAAUUGGAAGGAUUAAUGGCAGAGUAAUGUUUACGAAUUAGGAAAAAAAAUACUGUGAGGGGUUAGGCUAGUUCUCACAGAAUUCUCUGUGGCAGGCCAAUCGUUCCUCUUAUAUUUUAUAAGGAUUUGGAAGAAGAUUCUUUGGCUCCAAGUUAUGUGUGGGUGUGCUGUUUAAUAAUCAUAUGUUCAAGCCCUCCAUUACUGAAGAUGGAAUUACCACACCUCUUUAAAAGUUCAAUUUUCUGUUUAUAUGCUGGAUUACAUUUACUGAUUUGCAUAUAUUGAACCAGCCUUGCAUCCCAG
rnacentral:lncRNA from 1 species